GCGAUAAGCGUCGGUAAGGUGAUAUGAACCGUUAUAACCGGCGAUUUCCGAAUGGGGAAACCCAGUGUGUUUCGACACACUAUCAUUAACUGAAUCCAUAGGUUAAUGAGGCGAACCGGGGGAACUGAAACAUCUAAGUACCCCGAGGAAAAGAAAUCAACCGAGAUUCCCCCAGUAGCGGCGAGCGAACGGGGAGCAGCCCAGAGCCUGAAUCAGUGUGUGUGUUAGUGGAAGCGUCUGGAAAGGCGCGCGAUACAGGGUGACAGCCCCGUACACAAAAAUGCACAUGCUGUGAGCUCGAUGAGUAGGGCGGGACACGUGGUAUCCUGUCUGAAUAUGGGGGGACCAUCCUCCAAGGCUAAAUACUCCUGACUGACCGAUAGUGAACCAGUACCGUGAGGGAAAGGCGAAAAGAACCCCGGCGAGGGGAGUGAAAAAGAACCUGAAACCGUGUACGUACAAGCAGUGGGAGCACGCUUAGGCGUGUGACUGCGUACCUUUUGUAUAAUGGGUCAGCGACUUAUAUUCUGUAGCAAGGUUAACCGAAUAGGGGAGCCGAAGGGAAACCGAGUCUUAACUGGGCGUUAAGUUGCAGGGUAUAGACCCGAAACCCGGUGAUCUAGCCAUGGGCAGGUUGAAGGUUGGGUAACACUAACUGGAGGACCGAACCGACUAAUGUUGAAAAAUUAGCGGAUGACUUGUGGCUGGGGGUGAAAGGCCAAUCAAACCGGGAGAUAGCUGGUUCUCCCCGAAAGCUAUUUAGGUAGCGCCUCGUGAACUCAUCUCCGGGGGUAGAGCACUGUUUCGGCAAGGGGGUCAUCCCGACUUACCAACCCGAUGCAAACUGCGAAUACCGGAGAAUGUUAUCACGGGAGACACACGGCGGGUGCUAACGUCCGUCGUGAAGAGGGAAACAACCCAGACCGCCAGCUAAGGUCCCAAAGUCAUGGUUAAGUGGGAAACGAUGUGGGAAGGCCCAGACAGCCAGGAUGUUGGCUUAGAAGCAGCCAUCAUUUAAAGAAAGCGUAAUAGCUCACUGGUCGAGUCGGCCUGCGCGGAAGAUGUAACGGGGCUAAACCAUGCACCGAAGCUGCGGCAGCGACGCUGAUGCGUUGUUGGGUAGGGGAGCGUUCUGUAAGCCUGUGAAGGUGUGCUGUGAGGCAUGCUGGAGGUAUCAGAAGUGCGAAUGCUGACAUAAGUAACGAUAAAGCGGGUGAAAAGCCCGCUCGCCGGAAGACCAAGGGUUCCUGUCCAACGUUAAUCGGGGCAGGGUGAGUCGACCCCUAAGGCGAGGCCGAAAGGCGUAGUCGAUGGGAAACAGGUUAAUAUUCCUGUACUUGGUGUUACUGCGAAGGGGGGACGGAGAAGGCUAUGUUGGCCGGGCGACGGUUGUCCCGGUUUAAGCGUGUAGGCUGGUUUUCCAGGCAAAUCCGGAAAAUCAAGGCUGAGGCGUGAUGACGAGGCACUACGGUGCUGAAGCAACAAAUGCCCUGCUUCCAGGAAAAGCCUCUAAGCAUCAGGUAACAUCAAAUCGUACCCCAAACCGACACAGGUGGUCAGGUAGAGAAUACCAAGGCGCUUGAGAGAACUCGGGUGAAGGAACUAGGCAAAAUGGUGCCGUAACUUCGGGAGAAGGCACGCUGAUAUGUAGGUGAAGUCCCUCGCGGAUGGAGCUGAAAUCAGUCGAAGAUACCAGCUGGCUGCAACUGUUUAUUAAAAACACAGCACUGUGCAAACACGAAAGUGGACGUAUACGGUGUGACGCCUGCCCGGUGCCGGAAGGUUAAUUGAUGGGGUCAGCGCAAGCGAAGCUCUUGAUCGAAGCCCCGGUAAACGGCGGCCGUAACUAUAACGGUCCUAAGGUAGCGAAAUUCCUUGUCGGGUAAGUUCCGACCUGCACGAAUGGCGUAAUGAUGGCCAGGCUGUCUCCACCCGAGACUCAGUGAAAUUGAACUCGCUGUGAAGAUGCAGUGUACCCGCGGCAAGACGGAAAGACCCCGUGAACCUUUACUAUAGCUUGACACUGAACAUUGAGCCUUGAUGUGUAGGAUAGGUGGGAGGCUUAGAAGUGUGGACGCCAGUCUGCAUGGAGCCGACCUUGAAAUACCACCCUUUAAUGUUUGAUGUUCUAACGUUGACCCGUAAUCCGGGUUGCGGACAGUGUCUGGUGGGUAGUUUGACUGGGGCGGUCUCCUCCUAAAGAGUAACGGAGGAGCACGAAGGUUGGCUAAUCCUGGUCGGACAUCAGGAGGUUAGUGCAAUGGCAUAAGCCAGCUUGACUGCGAGCGUGACGGCGCGAGCAGGUGCGAAAGCAGGUCAUAGUGAUCCGGUGGUUCUGAAUGGAAGGGCCAUCGCUCAACGGAUAAAAGGUACUCCGGGGAUAACAGGCUGAUACCGCCCAAGAGUUCAUAUCGACGGCGGUGUUUGGCACCUCGAUGUCGGCUCAUCACAUCCUGGGGCUGAAGUAGGUCCCAAGGGUAUGGCUGUUCGCCAUUUAAAGUGGUACGCGAGCUGGGUUUAGAACGUCGUGAGACAGUUCGGUCCCUAUCUGCCGUGGGCGCUGGAGAACUGAGGGGGGCUGCUCCUAGUACGAGAGGACCGGAGUGGACGCAUCACUGGUGUUCGGGUUGUCAUGCCAAUGGCACUGCCCGGUAGCUAAAUGCGGAAGAGAUAAGUGCUGAAAGCAUCUAAGCACGAAACUUGCCCCGAGAUGAGUUCUCCCUGACCCUUUAAGGGUCCUGAAGGAACGUUGAAGACGACGACGUUGAUAGGCCGGGUGUGUAAGCGCAGCGAUGCGUUGAGCUAACCGGUACUAAUGAACCGUGAGGCUUAACCUU
rnacentral:rRNA from 1 species